GUGUUAUUCAACGUAUUGUGUGCGACGAGUUGAAGAGAGGUUUACACGGCUAGGCUUUCCGAGAUAAAUCGUAACGAAAUAGCAGACACCACACAGCGUCUCAUCUGAUUCUACGCUGUUUGCCAAGGCCGAUACUAUAAUGAAUGGAAAUGCACAAACUCAGUAACUGGCAAGCAUA